CUCUAUUAAGAAAUUAGAAGUGUUAUUGUUAACAUAUCGCGAUUUCUAUGUUGCCACGGUAUCAGUCUUUUCUUCGCAUUUUUCUCGUUGUUGUUUGAAAAUAUGUGAAUCGCAGCAUACAGUUGUGGGCGACAGAGUGAAUCUGGAUAAAUGUGGCAAAAUGGACCUUAGAAAAUAUUUUAAGCAACAGAGAUUCCACAGCUAAGCCAUCCGCAUCACCAGUCACCAAGUCUACCAGACGUCAACUCUUUGGACAGCUGCACCCACUCCCUCACCAUCUGGGCCACACUAUGCCCACUCCGCCAGCGCAGAGUAGCGAAACGGCCAGACUGGAAGCGCCAUCUUGAAGGGGGUCCAAAUUAGCCCCAAGCUUUCGCUCUGCUGAUCCGGUUUGGCUCGGCCCGGCUUGUGCCGUCCGUUAUGAUAAAUUACAUCAUCACUCUCAUCAGCAGCGUAUCCAGGUCAGGAUCGUCCUUCAUUAUGAUCGUUAUUUUUAUCAUGAUAAUUGAUCAAGUUCACAUUUCUUAUUCAUGUUAUUUAUUUGAGCAAACCUUGGCCCCACCUCUGUCGCUGAGACCCCCACCCCCCACCAUGCCAGAGACGACUUUAACACAGGAGGCUGCGGUCUGCAAAUGCAGAAGUGCAACCUGACCACCAGAGGGCAGUCACGGGAGUUCAUUCUAACUGGACCUCAGAAUUUUAACAGUGCUGGGCUGUGAUGAGCCAGCAGGGAUUACGAAGGUAAAAUCACCAGAUGUGACAGGAGUUACGGGCAUAAGAGGUCCUUUGGAUUCUUAUUUCCUCACAGGAACAUUUUUAGUUUAAUAAAAUAAACCUGUUAUUCAUAACAAAUAAAUAAAGCCACUCGAAUGUGGAGCUC